GUUUCCAUAUUACAGGGAACACCUGGAAAUACCGCGAUAUCUGGACCUAGUAAAUGCCAUGCAAUUAUCGCGAGAGGAAAGAAGCGCAGGUCUCGUGACGCCGGAAGAUCUCACGAGAGAAGACUUGGCGCCCUCCUCCGUGGAUUCCGGCCAGGCCGGGUUCAGCGGUUGCUGUGAGGGCAGGCUUCCCCGCACCAUGCCGUCCGCGUUCUCCGUCAGCUCUUUCCCUGUCACCAUCCCAGCUGUACUCACGGUAACUCGCAGCCUGCGUAACCACCAGUUCGAGCGAGGACGGCCGAGAGCCGUCAGGUCUAUCCCACAGGGUUACUCGCCUGUGGCCAAGAAGGCGGCGGUUGUGGGCGAGGUCUUGCGGCGGGGCAUGCGCGCUGGGCGGAGUCCUGGGAUCUGUGGGAGGGGCUUAAGCGUGCGGUGGGCGGGGUCCUGGGACCUGUGGGCGUGGGUAGGGGCGGUGGAGCCCGCACUGGGCGGGGUCCUGGGAAAUGUGGGUGUGGCUCCGGGCCGGGCAGCGGAGCGCGCACUGGGCGGUGUCCUGGGUCCUGUGGGAGUGACUCGGGACCGGAAGUUGGGGCGAGCGCGCUGGGCGGGGUCCUGGGCCCUGUGGGCGUGGCUCGGGGCCGGGCCUCGAGCGUGCGCGCUGGGCGGGGUCCUGGGUCGUCGGGGGCGGGACGUUGGGGCGGAGCGUGCUCGGUAGGCGGGGCCAUCACUAGGCGGGCGUGGCUGGGUUGUGUGGGCGGAGCGCGAGGGGCAGGGCUUUGUUCGUGUGGGAGGCGCAUGCGGGCGAGUCUUCCGCUUUGCAGGCAGGACUUGGGUAGUGUGGGCGGAUCUUGGGCAGUGUGGCGGGACGUGAGUGGUGGAGCCUAAUAGUGGCACGUGGCGCGGAGGAAUCCUGCCCCUGUGUGGGCGGGGCCGCGCCGUGCCUAUGGUGUGUCCGGCAGGGCCUUGGGGAGCCCUUACCCCGAGUGGCAGACCGACUGGACUGAGCCCUGGCUUGUGGGGCUGGCUGCCUUCCACGCGCUCUGCCUGCUCCUCACCUGCUUGUCCUCCUGGAGCUACAAACUACAGAUCGGGCACUUCCUGUGCCUAGUAAUCUUAGUCUACUGUGC